AUUCUGACUUUGAUGAUGAACCUGAGGAAGAGAAAUUUCCAGAUAUAGAGGAACAUGAAGAUGAUUUGCAAGAAGAAAUCAAGAAAGUUAUGAUGUCAAUUGAAGAUCACAAAGAGUAUGUAAAAACCAGUGGAAGAGUGUAUGAGGAAGAAGAACUAAAUAUGUGGAAUAUAGACACUACUAUCUUAGAUGAGUGUUGGGUAGGACAGGAGUGGGCUAUACUUAUCAGCAUUGAAAGGACUACAUCAAAGAUCAACAGAUCUUCCAAAAUUAUGACAUCAAGCAGUUGAAGAAAACCCAUUUCAAACUAUCAUAUGAGUGUGUGCACAAAGAAUCCCAAGGGUGUGAGUGGUGGAUAUAUUGCUCUAGAUUUAACAAGGUCAGCUUUUAUUGUAAACGUAGUUUUUUUGAGAACACUUGUUCCACUACCCAUGGGAUAACAAAUCCUGUUGCAAAAGCAAGGUAGGUAUAUACAAUGAUGUUGGAGAAGUACAAAGCUCAUCCAAACUACAAACCAAAUGAUUUCAUUUCUGAAAUCAAAUUGGCACAUGGGGUGCAUAUUUCAUACAUGACUGCAUGGCAUGCUAGACAUCUCUCUAUUGAGAGGGUGUUGGGAAAUUUUGAAGAAAGUUAUAAUUUUUUACCUGAAUUCUGUAAUCAACUUAGAUUGAAAAAUCCUGACAGUGUUGUCAUCUGUAAAAUUGAUAGCAAUGGUAAGUUCUUGUA